CCUGCAGUCCCCUAGCGCCUGCGCAGUAGACUUCCUCUCCCCGGACGGCCUCCCGCGAGGCCGCGAGCGGAAGUCGCUUUGGGAGGCGGAGCCUGGCUGACAGACGGGAAUACUUGACAUCUUGGGAGAGGCAUCAUGACAAUACUGCAUAGAAGGAAGGCUGGGCUUCGGGCUGGACCGCCUGAGAGCAGAUUGUCCGAGGCACCAGCAGGACGUCAGAUUUCAGGUGGAGGAGACAGAAAGCGGCUUGUGACCUUGCAGGUUUCAAUAGAAGAGCAAACAAGAAGGGCAGAUAAGGAGACGCCAGUGAGAUUCUAUGACCUGUCAUUAGGGAUGGGCUUCCCAGCUAUCAAAUGUUUGCUCACAUAAUAAAAUGGGGGCAGAGCCCUAAAUGUUGU